CCUAACACAUGCAAGUCGAGCGGUAGCACAGAGAGCUUGCUCUCGGGUGACGAGCGGCGGACGGGUGAGUAAUGUCUGGGAAACUGCCUGAUGGAGGGGAUAACUACUGGAAACGGUAGCUAAUACCGCAUAAUGUCGCAAGACCAAAGUGGGGGACCUUCGGGCCUCAUGCCAUCAGAUGUGCCCAGAUGGGAUUAGCUAGUAGGUGGGGUAACGGCUCACCUAGGCGACGA
rnacentral:rRNA from 1 species